rnacentral:rRNA from 1 species
AACAGAUGGCGCACGGCGCACGGGUGCGUAACACGUGGGUAAUCUGCCCUUCGAUGGGGAAUAACCUCGCGAAAGCGAGGCUAAUUCCGCAUAACAUUCCUAAGAAUUCGGUCCCUGGACUCAAAGCCGUAAGGCGUCGAUGGAGGAACCCGCGCACGAUUAGCUAGUUGGUGAGGUAACGGCUCACCAAGGCUAUGAUCGUUAGCUGGUCUGAGAGGAUGGCCAGCCACACUGGAACUGAGACACGGUCCAGACUCCUACGGGAGGCAGCAGUGGGGAAUCUUGCGCAAUGGGCGAAAGCCUGACGCAGCGACGCCGCGUGGAGGAUGAAGCAUUUCGGUGUGUAAANGNCCUUUCGACUGGGACGAAUACCUCGCAAGAGGGGUGACGGUACCAGUAGUU